rnacentral:hammerhead_ribozyme from 1 species
AUCCAGUGAGUGACGAAUCCCACAUAGGACGAAAUGCUCAUCCUGGAU